rnacentral:rRNA from 1 species
AGGGCACCGCCAGGAGUGGAGCCUGCGGCUUAAUUUGACUCAACACGGGGAAACUCACCCGGCCCGGACACCGGAAGGAUUGACAGAUUGAUAGCUCUUUCUUGAUUCGGUGGAUGGUGGUGCAUGGCCGUUCUUAGUUGGUGGAGCGAUCUGUCUGGUUAAUUCCGAUAACGAACGAGACUCUAGCCUAUUAAAUAGACGUCGGGUUCUCUGCACUCGACGGUCUUCUUAGAGGGACAAGGUGCUUUUAGCACCGCGAAACAGAGCAAUAACAGGUCUGUGAUGCCCUUAGAUGUCCGGGGCCGCACGCGCGCUACACUGAAGGAAGCAGCGUGUAACAACCUUGUUCUAACGAACUGGGUAACCCGUGGAACUUCCUUCAUGAUUGGGAUAGGGGUUUGCAAUUGUGCCCCUUGAACGAGGAAUUCCCAGUAAACACUAGUCAUCAGCUAGUGCUGAUUACGUCCCUGCCCUUUGUACACACCGCCCGUCGCUACUACCGAUUGAAUGGUUUAGUGA